CGCGGGCGGCGGAGCAGCGGGAUGCGGCAGGGCCGGGCCGCAGGGCUGGCGGCGCUGGCCGCGGUGCUCCUGGUGGCUGCAGGCAGAGCCCAGGUGCAGCAGGAGCCACGGGCACAGACCACCGAGGGCACGGGCAUCAACAUCGCCUGCUCACACCCCAACAUCCAGUCAAGCGACUACAUCUACUGGUACCGUCAGUUCCCGGGCCGAGAACCCGCAUUCCUCGUAUGGGCUUAUAGUGGGUCCAAAGAUGUGAGGAAUCCUGCAGGGCGGCUCUCGGUGACAGGAGACCGCCGGUCCAGCGCCCUGUGGCUCACCGAGCCCCGGCUUCGGGACGCGGCGGUGUAUUACUGCGCCCUGAGAGCCACGGGGAGAGGAGCCGGGGCUGCGGCCGUGCAGGAACCGUGGCGGGCGGGGCCGGGCGUGUGUGGCGGGGGCGAGGCAGGGGCACAGCCCCCAGGGGGCGCUGCCGCUCCGCCCGCCAGGACCACCUUGUCCCGCAGCCGCGGGGGUUCCCCCGCCAGUCCAGACCCGUCCCCACUGAGGCCCUUCGGUUCUUCUGGGUCCGAGGAUGGGGGUCAGGUGUGGGCAGACCCAUCUGGGUGUGAGGGGUCAGGACGUAACACCCAGCGAUGUCAAGAGAGUGGAGGGGCACACCUGACUGCAUGAGCUGUGUGCGUAGCACCAGAGAGAUCUCCACGCAGUCGUGCUCUCGCUGCUUCUUUCAAGUUGCUAACACCUGGCAGAGAGAGGCCUGCAUAUGAGCAGGUGUUGAUUUCUGACAUAGAGACACAAAGCUUCCUUCCCUCCCCAUCUGCACCAUGUUUGUGGUUCCUGGAAGCCCUUCCCAGGGGCCCUGUCCAGCAGCUUUGGCAUGGAGGGCACCUUGUGCCUGAGUAGCAGCUGGCAAUGCCAGAGACAUCCAGUCCUGCUGAAUCCUUUCACUAAGGCCAGAAGCAGUCAGAAGGAAGGCACCCUUGGAAGUUUGUGCAUGGUCCCCAACCAGGGCACACAGGUGGUGACAGUGUAGGUCACAAGUGGGCUUCAGAGAAAAAGGGUCAGGAUGGAGAAAGGGUCAGAGCAGAGCCUCAUGAUGGUGCAAAGGAGCAAAGAAAAGGCUUUUCCUCUUGGUCAAGAAGCACCCCCAGAAUAAUGCAGUGUGGGGGCUGGCUGCCAAGGAAGCAGACACACAGGAAAGCCUUUUGGGUGCAGGAGGCACCCGGCCACACACAAGCCAGCAGUGUUCACUUGUUGCAAAGGCAGCCAACGGCCUGCAGUGCUGGGCGGGACAGGUGGUGCCAUGCGGUUUGUGGGGGCGAGCUGGGGGUACAGUUGCAGCCAAGCUCGUCGGAAGACGCUUCUGGUGCAUGGAAGUCCCCUUGCAGAGCUUGGGAUUAAAUGGCACUGACCUGAGGGAGUGUCAGAGCAGUUAUAUUCGGUUUCCUGCGUUUUCUGUAGUGGUCAUGUUUUAAGAUCUUGUUGUACAGGCUUUGUCCCAAGCCCAAAUCCAGCACAAUACUUCAAGCACACCAUUGCUAUCUGGUUGAGAGAAGUGAUUGUCCUGCUCUACUCUGUGCUGGUGUGACCUCACCUCGAGUACUGUGUGCAGUCUUGUGAACCACAGAACAAAAACUACAUGAAACUAUUGGAGAGUGUCCAGAGAAGGACUACAAAGAUGGUGAAGGUCCUUGAGGGGAAGACAUUUGAGGAGCGGUCAUUUGGCCUGUUCAGCCUGGAAAAGAGACCUCAUCAUGGUCUCCAGCUUCCUCACGA
rnacentral:lncRNA from 1 species